rnacentral:rRNA from 1 species
AUUGAACGCUGGCGGCAGGCCUAACACAUGCAAGUCGAGCGAGCGGCGGACGGGUGAGUAAUGUAUGGGGACUGCACGAUAGAGGGGGAUAACUACUGGAAACGGUGGCUAAUACCGCAUACUAUCGGCAAACCCAUAUGGGAUUAGCUAGUAGGUGGGGUAAAGGCUAACCUAGGCUACGAUCUCUAGCUGGUCUCAGAGGAGGAUCAGCCCCACUGGGACUGAGAAACGGCCCAUACUCCUACGGAGGCAGCAUUGGGGAAUAUUGCACAAUGGGCGCAAGCCUGAUGCAGCCAUGCCGCGUGUAUGAAGAAGGCCUUAGGGUUGUAAAGUACUUUCAGCGGGGAGGCGUUACCCGCAGAAGAAGCACCGGCUAACUCCGUGCCAGCAGCCGCGGUAAUUC